CCUACGGGAGGCAGCAGUGGGGAAUAUUGGACAAUGGGCGAAAGCCUGAUCCAGCAAUGCCGCGUGAGUGAUGAAGGCCUUCGGGUCGUAAAGCUCUUUUACCAGGGAUGAUAAUGACAGUACCUGGAGAAUAAGCUCCGGCUAACUCCGUGCCAGCAGCCGCGGUAAUACGGAGGGAGCUAGCGUUGUUCGGAAUUACUGGGCGUAAAGAGUACGUAGGCGGUUAUUCAAGUCAGAGGUGAAAGCCCGGGGCUCAACCCCGGAACUGCCUUUGAAACUAGAUAACUAGAGUCUUGGAGAGGUUAGUGGAAUUCCGAGUGUAGAGGUGAAAUUCGUAGAUAUUCGGAAGAACACCAGUGGCGAAGGCGACUAACUGGACAAGUACUGACGCUGAGGUACGAAAGCGUGGGGAGCAAACAGGAUUAGAUACCCUGGUAGUCCACGCCGUAAACGAUGAUAACUAGUUGUUCGGUCACUUGGUGACUGAGUGACGCAGCUAACGCAUUAAGUUAUCCGCCUGGGGAGUACGGUCGCAAGAUUAAAACUCAAAAGAUAUAGACGNGNGAGAGCGACGACGACGACGAGAGGAGAG
rnacentral:rRNA from 1 species